AGGUCGCCCAGCUCCGGCGCUGACGGGUGUGGACCGCGGACGUCGCUGGGACAGCCCCUCCCCGCUGCUCGGCGGCGGCACCUGGCCCGGCCGCUCCUCGCUGCGCUUCGCCUCCGCCUCCUCGGACUCGGACUCGGGUUUAUAUCGCGCCUCACUUCAUCCCAGUCCCGGGCGAGCAGCGUUGGGUUUAUGUCUUUAUUUGACGAAAACGAGCUGUUGCGCAGCCAUUGGUACCUGUAUUGGGGAAACAUAGCAUACAAGCAAGAAGCUUACAGCCUCAGUGGCGAAAAUUUUUUCAUGUCAGAGACCGAGAACUCUUGCAGUCGUUUAUGUCAUCCCUUCUUCUCCAGACAGAAGAUACCAAAAAGUUGCAAUCAAAGAUCUCUUCAUCUUAUUGAUAAAGUCACUAAUAAGCCAAAAUGUCUGUCAACGUCAACCGCAGCGUGUCAGACCAGUUCUAUCGCUACAAGAUGCCCCGUCUGAUUGCCAAGAUCCCACCAAAUAUUUUGGUUGUGAGCUGGGAGCACAGACCCAGUUUGAUGUUAAGAAUGACCGUUACAUUGUCAAUGGAUCUCAUGAGGCGAAUAAGCUGCAAGACAUGUUGGAUGGAUUCAUUAAAAAAUUUGUUCUCUGUCCUGAAUGUGAGAAUCCUGAAACAGAUUUGCAUGUCAAUCCAAAGAAGCAAACAAUAGGUAAUUCUUGUAAAGCCUGUGGCUAUCGAGGCAUGCUUGACACACAUCAUAAACUCUGCACAUUCAUUCUCAAAAACCCACCUG
rnacentral:sRNA from 1 species